CCCUUAGAUGUUCUGGGCCGCACGCGCGCUACACUGAUGCAUUCAACGAGCCUAUCCUUGACCGACAGGUCCGGGUAAUCUUUGAAUCUGCAUCGUGACGGGGAUAGAUUAUUGCAAUUAUUAAUCUUCAACGAGGAAUGCCUAGUAGGCGCAAGUCAUCAGCUUGCGUUGAUUACGUCCCUGCCCUUUGUACACACCGCCCGUCGCUCCUACCGAUUGAAUGGUCCGGUGAAGCGUUUGGACUAUGGUUUUCUGAUGGUCCGCCGUUGGAUUACCGUGGGAAGUUCGUUAAACCUUAUCAUUUAGAGGAAGGAGAAGUCGUAACA
rnacentral:rRNA from 1 species